GAUGAAGAACGUAGCGAAAUGCGAUAAGUAGUGUGAAUUGCAGAAUUCAGUGAAUCAUCGAAUCUUUGAACGCACAUUGCGCCCCUCGGUAUUCCGUGGGGCAUGCCUGUUCGAGCGUCAUCUACACCCUCAAGCUCUGCUUGGUGUUGGGCGUCUGUCCCGCCUCCGCGCGUGGACUCGCCCCAAAUUCAUUGGCAGCGGUCCUUGCCUCCUCUCGCGCAGCACAUUGCGCUUCUCGAGGGGCAACGGCUCGCGUCCAACAAGCACAUUUACCGUCUUUGACCUCGGAUCAGGUAAGGAUACCCGCUGAACUUAAGCAUAUCAAUAAGCGGAGGA
rnacentral:misc_RNA from 1 species